rnacentral:rRNA from 1 species
AAAGGCGCGCGAUACAGGGUGACAGCCCCGUACACAAAAAUGCACAUAUUGUGAGCUCGAUGAGUAGGGCGGGACACGUGGUAUCCUGUCUGAAUAUGGGGGGACCAUCCUCCAAGGCUAAAUACUCCUGACUGACCGAUAGUGAACCAGUACCGUGAGGGAAAGGCGAAAAGAACCCCGGCGAGGGGAGUGAAAAAGAACCUGAAACCGUGUACGUACAAGCAGUGGGAGCACGCUUAGGCGUGUGACUGCGUACCUUUUGUAUAAUGGGUCAGCGACUUAUAUUCUGUAGCAAGGUUAACCGAAUAGGGGAGCCGAAGGGAAACCGAGUCUUAACUGGGCGUUAAGUUGCAGGGUAUAGACCCGAAACCCGGUGAUCUAGCCAUGGGCAGGUUGAAGGUUGGGUAACACUAACUGGAGGACCGAACCGACUAAUGUUGAAAAAUUAGCGGAUGACUUGUGGCUGGGGGUGAAAGGCCAAUCAAACCGGGAGAUAGCUGGUUCUCCCCGAAAGCUAUUUAGGUAGCGCCUCGUGAAUUCAUCUCCGGGGGUAGAGCACUGUUUCGGCAAGGGGGUCAUCCCGACUUACCAACCCGAUGCAAACUGCGAAUACCGGAGAAUGUUAUCACGGGAGACACACGGCGGGUGCUAACGUCCGUCGUGAAGAGGGAAACAACCCAGACCGCCAGCUAAGGUCCCAAAGUCAUGGUUAAGUGGGAAACGAUGUGGGAAGGCCCAGACAGCCAGGAUGUUGGCUUAGAAGCAGCCAUCAUUUAAAGAAAGCGUAAUAGCUCACUGGUCGAGUCGGCCUGCGCGGAAGAUGUAACGGGGCUAAACCAUGCACCGAAGCUGCGGCAGCGACACUAUGUGUUGUUGGGUAGGGGAGCGUUCUGUAAGCCUGUGAAGGUGUGCUGUGAGGCAUGCUGGAGGUAUCAGAAGUGCGAAUGCUGACAUAAGUAACGAUAAAGCGGGUGAAAAGCCCGCUCGCCGGAAGACCAAGGGUUCCUGUCCAACGUUAAUCGGGGCAGGGUGAGUC